CACUCAUAGGCCGACUGCAGCGCAUCAACACGCGCGACUCAGCCAAUGACGCCGCAGCAGAAAUAAAAGACGGCUGCAGCCACCAGAAAGUCAUUAAAGAGAGGGAGGCAGUGGCCGGGUCGAGCAGCUCGGAUGUGCGUGGAGAAGGAGAGGGGACUGGAGCAGUUUGAGAAGCCCGCCCCCGGAAUAGGGAAUACAGUACAGGAGUGGUGAGGCCCUGCGGCCAAUCAGAACACAGAACCCCUGAUUCAGGGCCCUCUAAUGAAUGGGAAAGUAUGAUGAAUGGCCCCAGGUAGUUGACGUCAUGAGCCAGCUCUCACUGUACACUUCAUUUACAGCGACUACCUCCAACACUCUGUGUCUCGGGCGCAGAACACAUUACGCCGUGAUGCAAUUUAAAUUAGAAAAUGAGGCCAACCUGUUGUGUUUAAAGAGAUCUGAACUGAGUGCCUUUAUUACUGCUGUACUUACCAAUGCAC
ensembl:lncRNA